GCAAACUCAGGCUUUAGGUUGAAGUGUUAAAGUGGGGAAACGCUGAGUGUCCUUUUUAAGGGGAACUGCACUGUUUGGGGGAAUUUUGCCUACUGUUCAUUAUCCUUAUGUAAGGCAAGAACAUAUGUGUUUUAUGCAUUGUAAUUCCUGAAUUAAAAUCAGCUAAGAGUCAAUUGGUGCCCCUCUAUGGCGCCCAUAAAGCCCUCUAAAAUACAUUCAACACUCCAUUUACAUGUCAAGACCUGAAUAUUUACCAAGUACCGUAUUUUCCGCGCUAUAAGCCGCCCCGUGUUAUAAGCCGCACCUUCAAUGAAAGGCAUAUUUAAAAACUUUGUGAACCUAUAAGCCGCACCGGGUCAUAAGCCGCGCCCCCCGCUGCGCUAAAGGGAAUGUCAAAAAAACAGUCGGAUAGGUCAGUCAAACUUUAAUAAUACAAAGCAGUGUGCGAAUGUGCAAUCACAACAAUAGUAACACUCAAAAUAUUGCAGAGCAAUAGCAACAUCAAUAACUCAACUUUGCUCGAACGUUAAUCUCACAGCACACAAAAUAAACAUUUAAAGCUCACCUUCAGAAGUUAUUCCUCAUCCAUAAAUCCCUCGAAUUCUUCUUCUUCGGUGUCUGAAUUUAAAAAUUGGUCGAGGCGUUGAGGGGUUCCGGUUUGGUGGCCACGGGAUUAGGUCUCUGCUUUUUGCAGAUGAUGUAGUCCUGAUGGCUUCAUCUGGCCGGGAUCUUCAGCUCUCACUGGAUCGGUUCGCAGCCGAGUGUGAAGCGACCGGAAUGAGAAUCAGCACCUCCAAGUCCGAGUCCAUGGUUCUCGCCCGGAAAAGGGUGGAGUGCCAUCUCCGGGUUGGGGAGGAGACCCUGCCCCAAGUGGAGGAGUUCAAGUACCUAGGAGUCUUGUUCACGAGUGGGGGAAGAGUGGAUCGUGAGAUCGACAGGCGGAUCGGUGCGGCGUCUUCAGUAAUGCGGACGUUGUAUCGAUCCGUUGUGGUGAAGAAGGAGCUGAGCCGGAAGGCAAAGCUCUCAAUUUACCGGUCGAUCUACGUUCCCAUCCUCACCUAUGGUCAUGAGCUUUGGGUCAUGACCGAAAGGAUAAGAUCACGGGUACAAGCGGCCGAAAUGAGUUUCCUCCGCCGGGUGGCAGGGCUCUCCCUUAGAGAUAGGGUGAGAAGCUCUGCCAUCCGGGAGGAACUCAACGUAAAGCCGCUGCUCCUCCACAUCGAGAGGAGCCAGAUGAGGUGGUUCGGGCAUCUGGUCAGGAUGCCACCCGAACGCCUCCCUAGGGAUGUGUUUAGGGCACGUCCAGCUGGUAGGAGGCCACGGGGAAGACCCAGGACACGUUGGAAAGACUAUGUCUUCCGGCUGGCCUGGGAACGCCUCGGGAUCCCCCGGGAAGAGCUAGACGAACUGGCUGGAGAUAGGGAACUCUGGGCUUCUCUGCUUAGGCUGCUGCCCCCGCGACCCGACCUCGGAUAAGCGGAAGAUGAUGGAUGGAUGGAUGGAAUACGGCAUCCAAAAUGGCGGGCUCCGUCUCGUCGAAGUCAUCAGAGUCAGUGUCGCUGUUGUUGUCCGGCAGUUCCAUGAAUCCUGCCUUCCUGGCCGGAUCUUUUUUCAGCUAUCUUGUUUUUACAGUAUGCGCGGAAAGUAGCCAGCCUUUCUUGAAAGUCUUUUGGCAGUUGCUGUGAAAUAGUAGUCCGUGUGCGGAUGGAGAGAUUGCGUCUUUUCAUGAACCGGAAACACCAAGAAGCACCACCUUUUUAAAUCAUAUAAGUGAAGUUCGCUUGCUAGCGCUGUUGCCGUCAUUGGAAUAGUGAUGGUUCUGACACUUCUGCUUGCUGCUCUCUGUUCCAGUUUGUCCUCCAACUGUUGCCAUCUUGCUUUGUUCCCUCAAACUCUGUGUUGUCUUCUUUACUUGGCGCAGGUCAUCUUGUUGCUUCCUCCACCUAAGCACCAUUGAUUCAUUUAUGUUCAAUUCUCUCGCUGCUGCUCUAUUUCCGUGUUCUUCUGCGUGACUUAUUGCCUUGAGUUUGAAUUCUGCGUUGUACGCGUGUCUUUUAGUAGGGGCCAUUUUUUGGUCCUCUUUACAGAAACACACAAAUGAAAUGAAUCGGAUUAGCCGCGCGCUUCUUCACGGUGGCAGAGGGGUUAGUGCGUCUGCCUCACAAUACGAAGGUCCUGCAGUCCUGGGUUCAAAUCCAGGCUCGGGAUCUUUCUGUGUGGAGUUUGCAUGUUCUCCCCGUGACUGCGUGGGUUCCCUCCGGGUACUCCGGCUUCCUCCCACUUCCAAAGACAUGCACCUGGGGAUAGGUUGAUUGGCAACACUAAAAAAUUGGCCCUAGUGUGUGAAUGUGAGUGUGAAUGUUGUCUGUCUAUCUGUGUUGGCCCUGCGAUGAGGUGGCGACUUGUCCAGGGUGUACCCCGCCUUCCGCCCGAUUGUAGCUGAGAUAGGCGCCAGCGCCCCCCGCGACCCUGAACGGGAAUAAGCGGCAGAAAAUGGAUGGAUGGAUGGAUAGCCGCGCGCUUCUUCUUCUACGGGGGCGGGUGCUUGCCUUGGCGGUUGCGUACCGUAGAAGAAGAAGCGCUUCCUCUUUCCAGGUGGGCGGGCGCUUACCUUGGCGGUUGCGUACCGUAGAAGAAGAAGCGCUUCCUCUUCUACGGGGGAAAAAAGAUGGCGGCUGUUUACCGUAGUUGCGAAACCUAAACUCUAUGAAAAUAAAUCUUUAUAUUAAUAUAUAUAUAAGGCGCACCGGGUUAUAAGCCGCACUGUCACCUUUUGAGAAAAUGUUUGGUUUUUAGGUGCGGCUUAUAGCGCGGAAAAUACGGUAUUAGCAAUAUUCUUAUUAUAACUGAUUAAUGCUGCUCUAUUGACACAGUAAGCUGCUGCAUCGCCUCUGAGUUGGUAAAAGUUAAGUUUAGAUUACAAAUCAUCCCUCUCACCUGGGUAGUACCGUAUUUUUGGAAUUAAAAGUCGCUCCGGAGUAUACGUCGCACUGGCCGAAAAUGCAUAAUAAAGAAGUAAAAAAACAUAUAUACGUCGCAGUGGAGUUUUAUUCUCAUUUUUGGGGGAAAUUUAUUUGAUAAAAUCCAACACCAAGAAUAGACAUUUGAAAGGCAAUUUAAAAUAAAUAAAGAAUAGUGAACAACAGGCUGAAUAAGUGUACGUUAUAUGAGGCAUAAAUAAGCAACUGAGAAGGUGCCUGGUAUGUUAACGUAACAUAUUAUGGUAAGAGUCAUUCUAGGCGUGGCGCAGUGGGGAGAGUGGCCGUGCGCAACCCGAGCGUCCCUGGUUCAAUCCCCACCUAGUACCAACCUCGUCACAUCCGUUGUGUCCUUCACCCUUGCUCCUGAUGGGUGCUGGUCGGCGCCUUGCAUGGCAGCUCCCUCCAUCAGUGUGUGAAUGUGGAAGUAGUGUCAAAGCGCUUUUCGCUUUGAGUACCUUGAAGGUAGAAAAGCGCUAUACAAGUACAACCCAUUUAUUUAUCAUUUAAAUAACUAUAACAUAUAGAACAUGCUAUAUAUACCUUUACCAAAAAAUCUGUCACUCCGAAUCGAUAAAUCCCAUGAAAUCUUCUUCCUCGAUGUCGCUUCUAAACAACUCUGCCAACUCCAAAGGUAUGCGCCGCUUCCUCUUGUCGUUUUCUGCUGCGUAUUUCACUACGUCCAGCUUGUAAUCUGCAGUACAUGAUUUCCUUUUCGGGGCCAUUUUUGUUCAGCCCUUUUCAAUUUUUUAUAAGUUACCGCCAACGAUGAAGUGAUCCAUUUUAAUAGCUACGGCAGUAGCAUAUAGCACAGGGGUAGGGAACCUAUGGCUCUAGAGCCAGAUGUGGCUAUUUUGAUGACUGCACCUGGCUCUCAGAUAAAUCUUAGCUGAUAUUGCUUAACACGAUAAGUAAUGAAUAAUUCCGCUGGUAAUCAGUGUCAAAAAUAACGUUCAAAAUAUAAAACAUUCUCAUGCAUUUUUAUCCAUCCAUCUACGUUUCUACUGCAGCUGUUCAAGAAUUCGCAUUAAUGGCAAGAAGUAUUUUAUUUAUUUUUGGUUAGACUCAGAAUAACAAUGUUAUUAAAAAGAAGAAGAAACUUAUUAUACUCUAAAAAUGAUGGUCUUUCCUAAAAAUGCCCGCAUAUGGUUGUAUUCAGUGUUAAAAACACAAACAUUAUAUGGCUCUCACGGAAAUACUUUAAAAAAAUAUUUGGCUUGUAUGGCUCUCUCAGCCAAAAAGGUUCCCGACCCCUGAUAUAGCAUAUAGCAGUUAGCAUUCCAUGACCCACAAUGCACUUCUGCCAUGACCCUCCCCCGCUGAAUUCUUAUUGAUUGACGUGUGUGUGUGACGAUUGCUGAUAUUUUCUUGGUCUCUUCCGCGAAUGAGAUAAAUAAUAUUAUUUUACAUUUUACGGUAGUUUUUUAAUAAUUUCACACAUAAGUCGCUCCGGAGUAUAUUUCGCACGUCUGACCAAACUAUGAAAAAAACUGCGACUUGUAGUCCGAACAAUACAGUAGAAGAUUUUGGCCAUAAACCGAGAAGUUAGUCAUCUUUGACAUUCAAUUUAGAGCCCGAGAUGGCGAGAAAGAUUCAAAGAAAAAACGCUUUUUUGUGGCACUGACUGUUUUUCUUAAUUGUUCAUAAGUACUGUAUUAUGAUUAAUUCUUCAUCCAGUCGGCAUUUCAGUCACAGCAAACAUUGUACAGUAAGUGAUUGUUUUAUUAUACUUGUAUACCUUGUUUAGCAAUUAGAAAUACAGUUACAUGAUGCUUAGUGUUGCACUAAUGCUGAAUUUCCGUAGCACACAGCUUUUAAGAAAUUACAUCAUCCUCUUAACCAGAAUCAGACAUACUUUAUUUUCAGCAAAUCCCAUUCAAAAUCAGACAAACAUUACAGGGAGACAGAACAGGAUCGCUGACGGGUCUGCCAACUUCCGGCGCCCCUUACAAAAAAGGGGUCACGGUGGUUACUGGAGCCUAUCUCAGCUGCAUUCGGACGGAAGCCGGAGUACACCCUGGACAAGUCGCCACCUCAAUCACAGGGCCAAUACAGAUACAGUAGACAUUUGUCCCAAAGUAGUCUUUGUUGUCUUUCAUGAAGUCUGCCAUGAUCAGUAGUGGUGGUGUUGUUGAAGGUAAAGGUCCGU